rnacentral:tRNA from 1 species
GGAGGGGUGGCCGAGUGGCCGAAGGCGGCGGUUUGCUAAACCGUUAGAGGGAGAUAAUCCCUCUCGUGGGUUCGAAUCCCAUCCCCUCCGCCA